rnacentral:lncRNA from 1 species
UUCUGUGUGUUCUUCGUGUUCUUGUUUAGGGUUUGAGAAAGAAAUAAUUUUGUCGUGCGGUUGCUUUUGUUGUUUUAGGGUUUUGAAAAAUAGCUUUGUUGCGUUUAUGUUGUUCUUGAUUUUGGGAAAAUCUCUUACUGUGAUGUGUUGUUCUUUAGGCUUUUUGAGAAAAAGUUAUUUUUUUGUUGUUGUUGUGGUUUUGGCUUUUGAGAAGAAAUCUCUUACUGUGUAUCUUUCCUCUUAACGCCUCAUGAACGUU